ensembl:misc_RNA 7SK 7SK RNA
GGAUGUGAGGGAUCUGCUGUGACUGCGACCUCCGUCACUCCUUUGAUCUCGGGUUGAUUCGGCCAAUUUGGCUGGCUGGACAGGUAUCCCCUUCCUCCCUCACUGCUCCAUGUUUGUACCUCCUGAAGCUGCAAAUUCGGUCAGAGAGGGUGACCGCCCCCAAUAGAAAAGGAUCAUUUUCUCAGUCAAGGCUAUAUGAGUAGCUAUGCUCCUCUGCGAGAACCUCCAAACUAGCUCUCAAGUUUCAAAGAUCAAAUGUAGUUGGUGCCUACCAUAUUGGGCAGUGCCAAUUAU